rnacentral:siRNA from 1 species
AGGAUGGGUGACCUCCCGGGAAGU